AAUAGAUACCCGGGUAGUCCACGCCGUAAACGAUGAGUGCUAGGUGUUGGGGGGACCCCCCUCAGUGCCGCAGGUAACCCAAUAAGCACUCCGCCUGGGGAGUACGGUCGCAAGACUGAAACUCAAAGGAAUUGACGGGGGCCCGCACAAGCGGUGGAGCAUGUGGUUUAAUUCGAAGCAACGCGAAGAACCUUACCAGGGCUUGACAUCCCGCUGACCGGUGUAGAGAUACGCCUUUCCCCUUCGGGGGACAGCGGUGACAGGUGGUGCAUGGUUGUCGUCAGCUCGUGUCGUGAGAUGUUGGGUUCAGUCCCGCAACGAGCGCAACCCUUGUUUCUAGUUGCCAGCACUUCGGGUGGGCACUCUAGAGAGACAGCCGGUGAAAGCCGGAGGAAGGUGGGGAUGACGUCAAAUCAUCAUGCCCCUUAUGUCCUGGGCUACACACGUGCUACAAUGGCUGGUACAAAGGGCAGCGAACCCGCGAGGGGGUAGCCGAAUCCCAAAAAACCAGUCUCAGUUCGGAUUGCAGGCUGCAACUCGCCUGC
rnacentral:rRNA from 1 species